UGCACAAUUGGUGGCUGACUAAAUACUUUUUUUCCCCACUGUAUAUAUGACUGGUUAAGUCAACCUAUUCCCCUACUCACCGUUUGUUUUAAUUUAUACAGACCUCAUCUUACAAGCUGUCAGUCGUCAUGGCUCCUAGUUUACUGGUCGGAUUAUACAGUUAGUAGCUGCUGUGGGGUCAGUUUUUGUUUCACCACAAUUCAUUUUUACUCUCCCCCGUGUACAGUUCUAGAGAUACCCCAUUGGAAUGACCCAACACUGUGGUAUUGUGUAUAUUCGGUGUAACUCUUGAGUGUGUUUUUAUGCAGAGUAACUUGUCACUAGUGGGGUGUUCCAGAAAGCAGGAUCGUUAAGUUAGCCAGCUAACUUUGAUAUGCAGUUAAAUAUAUCUCUUCAUCUUUUUAUUUAGAAAGCUAAACUUGAAUAAGGGUUGUUGUUGGUUGUCAAGUCAAUUAUACCAUGAGAAUUUCAAGUUUGAUUUUUUGGGACAGUUAGCUGGCUAAGUCAUUGAUCCUGCUUUCUGGAACAGUCCAAACACUCAAGUAGUUUUAUGUCAAGUGGUUUAUGAAAUAUUUUCUAUGAAUAUCCAAGGUCCUUUUUCUAAAUGAUAGAAUGGUUAAGGUAUCUCCCUGAAGACAUGUUGCACCAUUCCUUUGUUAGAGAAAAUGGACUAAAGGGGGAGAGGUAGAACGGUACAUACACACCAGGUAAACAGUAGGUCCAAAUUAUUAUUAUUAUUGAUUUGAAACUAUUAUUGAUUUGAUUAUUUUUAGUUUUUCAAAUGAUAAGAAAAUUGCCAAUGAUUUGCAAUUGGUUGCCCUUUGUAAUAUUGUAAUGACUUUUAUUUUCAAUGUGACAAAUUAAAAAGUGUUGUAUUUUGACACCCACAA